GUUCAACAAAUAUUCCAACUUCACAUACCCAUUAAUCAACCAUCUAAGUGAUAGAAAUACUUCAAUACAUCAAAAUUACAAAAGGAACAAACUAGAGAAAUGAAAGAUUAAAGAAACAAUCAAGCAAUAAUCUGAAUUUUAUUGAAAAGAAGACUAACGUUUCUGUUUAUGAGGUUCAACUAUUAACAACCUAUUAGUUAUCUUAACCAGAGUAUUAGCAUUUUUGCAUGUGCUUCAUAUGCUAAUAUUUCAUUACUAACAAUCUAGCUCAAACGAGCUUUGUAAGUAGCCUAACGGCUUACCUUUAAAAACAAUAAUGAGACAAGAAAAAAAAAAAGAGCAAAAAACAAUCAAGAUAACUUGCUUUCAAUUAAUGCAUAUACUAAGCUCGCUAGAGCUACUUGAAUAUUUACAUUUUGAAAAGCAAAUCUGGUACAAUAAGCUAGGCUGUUAGACUCUACCUUGCUUCCAAUUGUCCUUCAACAAUGAAACUUGGGUCUCAAUCCACUAUCUCUGUAGAAAAAUUUCAAUUUGAUAAUUUCUUCCUCAGAUUUCAUGACUGCUGGAUGAGAAGGCAAAACUAUAUUCAGCUCACAUGGUACUUUCAAAAGAAUAGAAGCAGCCACAACAGCUCUACCCUAGAAAGCAAAGUUACAAAAGAGUGGGGCCAUUGUUGUUUCAACAACUAUAGAAAACCAUUGCAGGAAAACACCAUUAUACAAUCGUAAAUCAAGGCUCACAUAAAGAAUUGGACCACUAGGUGGAGUGUCCAAGUCGUGGGACCCACCAAAAGAUAAAGAAUGAAAUGCAUGAGAACCACUUGCUAAUUUGCCAAGAGAUAAAGCUGAA
rnacentral:lncRNA from 1 species